GCUUCUGAUCCUCAGAAAGUAGAAACAACACGAAUGCCCACCAACUGUCUGGAUAAUGAAUUGCAAUUAAUCAAUAUAAGCCAAGGCUGAAUGGCUACAGAUAUUCAUCUGUAGGAGGGAAAGAAAAGACAAUGGAAGAACUACCACAAAAAAGCCAGGCUCUCAAGGAUUAUGUGGAUCCUAGUUAAUCUUACAGGGAGGAAAGCUUUUACUGAAUGAAGAUACUAAAGUUUUAAGGUGGACCACAAAAUAAGAAAGCUCCAAAUUCACCCAUGUUCCGAUGAUGGUGGUGACUUAGAACAUAGGUUAGGAGAGCUUGGGCCCUUGCUGCUACGCCUAGUCCUGGGAGACAGGCUAUUCUCAAUGAUUUGGGAUGGCCAGGACUGUCAUUUGGAAUCUCAAGUAAGAAAGGUGAAACUUUACACACCAAUCUCAAGUAAGAAAGAUGAAACUUUACACUUUCCCCGAGCCUAGUUUCAUGUCAGAAACUAUGAAAACUUGCUUAAGGCCAAUUUAGAUUUUUAAAAUGUUAUAGAAAGCCAUGGUAAUUCAUAUAAUAAGACAAGGCCUGUGAGGAACACAGCAAGAGCCAUGACAGCUGAAAAAAAUUAAUUGAAAAGAAAAGAACUACAGAGUUUUGUGUCUCAUCGUCUGGAGAUCCUGGUUUACUUUAUCUAGGCUGAAAAUCAGGCUUCAGUACUAAAAAUCUAGAGGAACCUGGAGGAAUAGCUCAGUGGUAGGGUGAUGUCUGAUGGUGUAUUGAAAUGAACAGUUAAUGAUUACAUUUUUUUAUGUUCUGAUAGAGUAUGUUUAUUAUGCACUCAGGCCUUGUGUUUGGCCUCUAGCACCCAAAACAAACAAACAAACAAACAAACAAAUUAAAAAAAACAAAUGAACAACAACAAGAAUAAAAGCACAGGAAAAAUCUGCCUGUAGUAUGACUAGAGAAGAACAUUUUGUAAGUGUUAUACAGCCCUGCUCCCUCUAAAGUCUUGUGGACAAUAAAGCAAUCUCUAU